UCUUUAUAUUUAUUUUAUUAUAAUUUUUUAGAUUAUUUUUGUUUUAAUAUUUUAUAAUAUUUUAUUGGGGUGAUAUUAAAAUUUAAUAAACUUUUAAUUUUAUUAAACAUUAAUUUAUGAAUUUAUUGAUCCAUUAGUAAUGAUUAAAAAUUUAAGU
rnacentral:rRNA from 1 species